ensembl:lncRNA
AGAUAUGGAGAAAGCAUUUUGGACUGGCCCUCCUUUCAUUGGGCGUGGUGCUCUUUCUGGCAAGCUCAGCCUGAGGACUCUGAACUGGCUAAUGCUUGAAUCCCCUGGGUGCUCCUAAGGGCUUUUUCAUUUCUGGGAGUGUGGCAGAGAGAAUGUGAUGGGAAGCUUAUGAGGUGCUGUCAGUGCCGUUAUUUCCUGUUAAAGAGCAGUGGAUACUACUGUAUAGAUGGAGAAGUCUUGAGACUACUGUAAAAAUAAGACUGAAAACCAGAAGCAGGAGGCUUAAGUCCAAAUCCUGAGAAUACCAGAGAACUUCUGACUCCAGGGAACAUUAAUCUACAGGAGCUCAUCAAACGCCUCCAUACCUACACUGAAACCAAGCACCACACAAGGGCCAACAAGUUCCAGAGCAAGACAUACCACAAAAAUUCUCCAGCAACACAGGAACACAGCCCUGAGCUUCAAUAUACAGGCU